GAGACUCCGAGAGCCGCUCUCCCAGGCUCCCCGCUGCAGCGGCGGGGCUGCCAGGGGCGGCACACUCCAGCGCCAGCCAGAGAGCUAGCGCCGCUUGAGGCCGGCCGGGGACGAGGCGCUUUACACUGCCUGAUGGGUACUAGCAGCCCACCCCAGCCAGAUGGAGGACAAGGCCUCUCCAAGUCUCAAGGAAAUGCACAAUCCUUCCUUACCUCUGGCCUCAGAACUCUCAGCAUCUCAUUGAUUAGCAACCUCAUCUGUGGCAAAUCUAAGGAACACCUUCUACUUAAAAUUGAAGUCUUCUGGGCUGGGUGUGGUGGCUCAUUCCUGUAAUCCCAGCACUUUGGGAGGCCAAGGAGUGCGGAUCACGAAGUCAGGAGUUCGAGACCAGCCUGGCCAACAUAGUGGAACCCUGUCUCUACUAAAAAUACAAAAAUUAGCCGGGUGUGGUGGCACAUGCCUGUAGUCCCAGCUACUCGGGAGGCUGAGGCCUCUGAGCCCAAGCUAAGCCAUCAUAUCCCCUGUGACCUGCACGUACACAUCCAGAUGGCCGGUUCCUGCCUUAACUGAUGACAUUCCACCACAAAAGAAGUGAAAAUGGUCUGUUCCUGCCUUAACUGAUGACAUUGUCUUGUGAAAUUCCUUCUCCUGGCUCAUCCUGGCUCAAAAGCUCCCCCACUGAGUACCUUGUGAUCCCCACUCCUGCCCACCAGAAAACAACCCCCUUUGAGGACAUGCAUGAAAUUUGGUGCCGUGACUCAGAUCGUGACCUCCCUUGGGAGGUCCUCCUGUUCUUUGCUCCUUGAGAAAGAUCCACCUAUGGUCCUCAGACCGACCAGCCC
rnacentral:lncRNA from 1 species